GUCUUGAGAGAAAUCCGUGUCCAUUUUGCUUGCGGUCUUUUUGCUCCUUGUUGGUUUCGAAGGUCGGGAGUUGGUCGAGUGUCAGAGGAAUGAAGCCCCGCCCACUGCAGGUCCAGCAAGUCAACCAGCAAAACCCAUCUGGGAUCAUCUGUUGUGCCUACGAGGAGUAAAUCAAAAAGUGAGCGUGAUA